CGCGCUACCUACAGAGGGGUCCAUACAGCGUUGUUCUGGAUUCCCAUUGUAACUUAAAGGGAAAUUUUCACAAUGUCCGGAGCCCCUGAUGUCCUGCAAAUGAAGAAGGAGGAUGUCCUUAAGUUCCUUGCAGCAGGAACCCACUUAGGUGGCACCAAUCUUGACUUCCAGAUGGAACAGUACAUCUGUAAAAGGAAAAGUGAUGGCAUCUACAUCAUAAAUCUGAAGAGGACCUGGGAGAAGCUUCUGCUGGCGGCUCGUGCCAUUGUUGCCAUUGAAAACCCUGCUGAUGUCAGUGUUAUAUCUUCCAGGAAUACUGGCCAGAGCGCCCUGCUGCCACUGGAGCCACUCCAAUUGCUGGCCGCUUCACUCCUGAAACCUUCACUAACCAGAUCCAGGCAGCCUUCCAGGAGCCACGGCUUCUUGUGUUUACUGACCCCAGGGCUGACCACCAGCCUCUCACAGAGGCAUCUUAUGUUAAUCUACCUACCAUUGCUCUGUAACACAGAUUCUCCUCUGCGCUAUGUGGACAUUGCCAUCGCAUGCAACAACAAGGGAGCUCUCUCAGUGGGUUUGAUGUGGUGGAUGCUGGCUCGGGAAGUUCUGCGCAUGCGUGGCACCAUUUCCCGUGAACACCCGUGGGAGGUCAUGCCUGAUCUCUACUUCUACAGAGAUCCUGAAGAGUUGGAGAAA